rnacentral:rRNA from 1 species
UAAUUUUAAGUCAAAUCUGCUCAAUGAAUUAUUAUUUAAAUAGCUGCAGUAUCAAUAACUGUACAAAGGUAGCAUAAUAAUUUGUUUUUUAAUUUAAAACUAGAAUGAAUGAUUUAAUGAAAUAUAAACUGUCUCAAAUUAAAUAAAUAAAUUUAUUCUUUAAGUUAAAAAACUUAAAUUUUUUUUAAAGACGAAAAGACCCUAAGAAUUUUAAUAUUUAAUUUUUAUAUUAUUAUUUAUUUAAUAAAAAUUAAAUAAUUUAAUUGGGGAAAUUUUAAAAUUUAAUUAAUUUUUAAUUAAUAAAAACAACUAUUUUUGUAUAAUUAUAAAUUUUUAAAAAAUAAAAUAAAAUUACCUUAGGGAUAACAGCAUAAUUUU